rnacentral:lncRNA from 1 species
AUGUGCUGUGGGGCAGACAAGGACCGUUUAACCAACCCGACAGCCUUGUAUGAUGAGAUGACUGGCCUGGUGGAUAGGGGUGAGAAAUCGAUACUGUUUACCUUGACUUUAGCAAGGCUUUUGACACUGUCUCCCUCCCAUAAUAUCCUCAUAGACAAACUGAUGAAGUAUGGGCUAGAUGAGUGGUCAUCGAGGGGGACUGAAAGCUGGCUGAACUGCCAGGCUCAGAGGGUUGUGAUCAUCAGCACAAAGUCCAGCUGGAGGCCAGUCACUAGUGGUGCCCCCCUGGGGCUGAUACCAGGGCCAAUAUUGUUUAACAUCUUCAUUAAUGACAUGGACAAUGGGGCCAAAUGCUCCUUCAGCAAGUUUGCAGAUGAUACUGAGCUGGGAGUGGCUGAUAUACCAGAGGGCUGUGCUGCCAUUCGGAGGGACCUCGACAGGCUGGAGAAACAGGCAGAGAAGAACCUCAGUAAAGAGGAGCGCAGAGUCCUGCAGCAGAGGAAGAAGUAUAGGGUGGGGGCCAACUGGCUGGAGAGCAGGUUUGCAGGGAAGGGCCUGGGGGUCCUGAUGAACUGCAGGCUGACCAUGAGGCAGCAAUGUGCCCUUGUGGCCAAGAAGACCAAUGGUAUCCUGGGGUGCAUCAGGAAGAGUGUUGCCAGCAGGUCAAGGGAGGUGAUCCUCCCCCUCUACGCAGCCCUGGGGAGGCCACAUCUGGAGUACUGCGUCCAGUUCUGGGCUCCCCAGUACAAGAGGGAUGUGGCACUACUGGAGCAAGUCCAGCGAAGGGCUACMAAGAUGAUKAGGGGACUGGARCAUCUCUCUUAUGAGGAAAGACUGAGAGAGCUGGGCCUGUUUAGCCUGGAGAAGAGAAGGCUGAGAGGAGAUCUUAUCAACAUGUACAAGUAUCUGAAGGGAGGAUGUAAAGAAGAUGGAGCCAGACUCUUCUCAGUGGUGCCCAGUGACAGGACAGGAGGCAAUGGGCACAAAUUUAAACACAGGAAAUUUCAUCUGAACAUCAGCAAACACUUUCACUGUGAGGGUGGUUGA